AGAAAAUCAUUUAAUAACUUGUCAAAAAAUAUUGCUUGAAGAUUUUAACAGCCUUGCUUAAUUAGAUGUCUGACCCAGGGAGACACUGAUGUCAGCCUUAAUUCUGGCUCUGCUUAGUGUGAAAAUUCUAUAAUCAAAUAAUAUCAUUUUUUUUCUUAAUGCCUUUUUUAGUCUGCCUGACCUCACAGAAGUCACAGGUUUCAGUGUUUUUAGAUCAACUCAGAACAGCUCAGAGAGAGAUACUGCUGCAUUGACUGACUUAACCCAUCAUUUAAAAUGAGACAGCUCAGCUAAAUUAUUCCUAGAAUUAGUUUAUCAUGCUGCUGUGUUUAAUGACUUUUGUUUUCACUUUGUUCAUUAGGGUGCAUUGUUACAUAGCUCUUGGUACUGAAGAGGCAGGACAAUGCUUCAGAAACUGGAGGGCAACUUGCAGCUGGAAACUUUUAACUACUUCUCCUCAGAGUCAGUUAAACCUGCAGUACCAGAGUUUUUAAAGUCCUGAUGAAACGGCAUUUUGAGAUUAUCUAACUUCAACAUCUUGACGUAUUCCUGAGUGAAACAGGAUAGACAGCCUUCGCAGGUGAUGACUCCAUAGUGGAUUCCCGAGGACUUGUCCCCACAGAUCUUACAGGGGAUGACCUCGAUUUGAGCUGCAGGACCAAAAACAACAGUGAUGAGAGAGGUAUCUGCUGCCCCACUGCCCAAGUUCAAGCUCAGCCUGUGUCAGGAAGCGACACGUUGAAGGACGACAGUCACUGCUCGCCUGUAACCGCACAUGGCGCUGCACGUCCGGCGGCACGGCGCUUCCCAGAGCCGCUCCCCCUCCCUCCACUGUCAAUGCUGUAUAAUGCUGGGUGACAUAACUAGGUCAGUGGAACAGCCAGGCCCCUUUCUCCCUCUGUACACUCACACAGUCAGCCAUGCUGGCACAGCCAUCACAUCACAACAACAUCUCAACGGCACCAACGAUGCUCAGAUUCAUCCUACAAAUUCAUCGGCACUAACAAAAAGUUUGCAAACAUCUUCAGGGAUGAUUUAGAUUUAAAAAAAAAAAACAUCAAAUGAUUUUAAUCAGAUAAAUGUGUACCACUGAAUAUCAGAACAAAACAGCUAAAUUCAUUAUUCUUUUAAGUGAAUGGGUGUAAAUCGUUCACUAUUUAAGUGUUUAAUUCAUCUGAUAAGAUCGAAUAACAUCUUGAUUACAUAAUUCUAGUUUUGGUUAACAACAACCCCCUCUCAUGCCCCUCCCUCUACUUAUUGCAUAACUCUAACAUGGAUCCCCAGGCAAAUUUACAGAAGGACCCCCAGGUGAGAUACGACUUUACAUUUCUUCAAUUAAAGGCAGAUUUGUCACGGCCAUUAAUAAUAAAGCAAAAUUACGCAUGUGUUCAAGUGAAGUCUUUCACUGACAUUCAUCCUGGGUAAAUAACAGAAUUAAUCCAGUUGGGUUAAUUCUCAUGAUUGAACAACACGCCUACAGCUCUUCAUCACUGCACACUGAACUUCAGUGCCUCCUCGGGGCUCUGUGCAGCUAUAAUCCAGUCAUGAGGGAUUAAUGCGCACUGGGAGGAAAACAGGCGCACUCAAGAGUUCCUUUUGCGCACACAUGUGGCCAUUCCAGCCCAGAUAAAAACACACUGCGAUCUUUACCAAGUUCAACUAAACACGCGCAGAUUCACUGUGACAUAAAAAUCG